rnacentral:lncRNA from 1 species
GUUUAGUAAACGAGCCGAACACGAGCUGAAUUUUUCGGCUCGUUUAAUAAAUGAGCCGAACACGAGUUAGGGUCAGCUUGCUCGUGUUCGGCUCGAUAACAGCUCGAAUACAUAUAUUUUAUAUUUAUAUAAUUUAUUUAAUUUAUAUUAUUAUAUAUAAAUAAAUAAUUAUAUAUAAUAUAUAUUUUUAUUAUUUAAUUUUUAUCAAAAUAAAAAUAUAAAUGCGAGCUUAAUUAUAAAAAAAACUCAUUUAUAUGUAAGGUUUCAACUAUUAGAUCAAACUCUAAUCAAUAAGAUUUUACAAAUUUAUUUUUUAUAUAUAUUCAAUCUAAUCCUUUAUAACUUAUUGUUCGUUGGUCAGCUCGUGAGCCAGCUCGUGUUCGGCUCGUUUAUUAAAGAGCCGAACAUGAGCCGGCCCUAGCUCGCUCGUGUUUGGCUCGUUUACACCGC